AUACGUAGGUGGCAAGCGUUGUCCGGAAUUAUUGGGCGUAAAGCGCAUGUAGGCGGUAAUUUAAGUCUGUCGUGAAACUGCGGGGCUCAGCCCCGUAUGGCGAUGGAAACUGGGUUACUUGAGUGCAGGAGAGGAAAGGGGAACUCCCAGUGUAGCGGUGAAAUGCGUAGAUAUUGGGAAGAACACCGGUGGCGAAUGCGCCUUUCUGGCCUCUGACGGACGCUGGGAUGCGAAGGCCAGGGUAGCGAUCGGGCUUAGAUACCCCGGUAGUCCUGGCCGUAAACGAUGGGUACUAGGUGUGGGAGGUAUCGACCCCUUCCGUGCCGGAGUUAACGCAAUAAGUACCCCGCCUGGGGAGUUCGGCCGCAAGGCUUAAACUGAAAUGAAUUGACGGGG
rnacentral:rRNA from 1 species